rnacentral:rRNA from 1 species
AGUAACACGUGGAUAACCUACCUAUAAGACUGGGAUAACUUCGGGAAACCGGAGCUAAUACCGGAUAAUAUUUUGAACCGCAUGGUUCAAAAGUGAAAGACGGUCUUGCUGUCACUUAUAGAUGGACCCGCGUCGCAUUAGCUAGUUGGUGAGGUAACGGCUCACCAAGGCAACGAUGCGUAGCCGACCUGAGAGGGUGAUCAGCCACACUGGGACUGAGACACGGCCCAG